rnacentral:tRNA from 1 species
ACUCUCGUCGCUGAGUGGUCAGGGCAUUGAUGCGUAAAACCAAAGGUCCCGGGUUCAAUUCCCGGCGACGGUG